CACGCCGUAAACGAUGGGUGCUAGGUGUCGCGGGCUUUGACCCCUGCGGUGCCGUAGCUAACGCAUUAAGCACCCCGCCUGGGGAGUACGGCCGCAAGGCUAAAACUCAAAGGAAUUGACGGGGGCCCGCACAAGCGGUGGAGCAUGUGGUUCAAUUCGACGCAACGCGCAGAACCUUACCUGGGCUAGAAAAUGCAGGGACCUGGUUGAAAAAUCGGGGUGCUCUUCGGAGAACCUGUAGUUAGGUGC
rnacentral:rRNA from 1 species